rnacentral:rRNA from 1 species
CCUACGGGUGGCAGCAGUAGGGAAUAUUGCUCAAUGGGGGAAACCCUGAAGCAGCAACGCCGCGUGGAGGAUGAAGGUUUUCGGAUUGUAAACUCCUUUUGUUAGAGAAGAUAAUGACGGUAUCUAACGAAUAAGCACCGGCUAACUCCGUGCCAGCAGCCGCGGUAAUACGGAGGGUGCAAGCGUUACUCGGAACAACUGGGCGUAAAGAGCGCGUAGGCUGGAUAGCAAUUCAGAUGUGAAAUCCUAUGGCUUAACCAUAGAACUGCAUUUGAAACUGUUAUUCUAGAGUAUGGGAGAGGUAGGUGGAAUUCUUGGUGUAGGGGUAAAAUGCGUAGAGAUCAAGAGGAAUACUCAUUGCGAAGGCGACCUGCUAGAACAUAACUGACGCUGAUGCGCGAAAGCGUGGGGAGCAAACAGGAUUAGAUACCCCGGUAGUC